rnacentral:rRNA from 1 species
AACGAACGCUGGCGGCAUGCCUAACACAUGCAAGUCGAACGAAGCCUUCGGGCUUAGUGGCGCACGGGGUGCGUAACGCGUGGGAAUCUGCCCUUGGGUUCGGAAUAACAGUUAGAAAUGACUGCUAAUACCGAAUGAUGUCUUCGGACCAAAGAUUUAUCGCCCAAGGAUGAGCCCGCGUCGGAUUAGCUAAGUUGGUGAGGUAAAGGCUCACCAAGGCGACGAUCCGUAGCUGGUCUGAGAGGAUGAUCAGCCACACUGGGACUGAGACACGGCCCAGACUCCUACGGAGGCAGCAGUGGGGAAUAAUUGGACAAUGGGCGAAAGCCUGAUCCAGCAAUGCCGCGUGAGUGAUGAAGGCCUUAGGGUUGUAAAGC